GACAGAGGGUGCUAGCGUUGUUCGGAAUGACUGGGCGUAAAGGGCGCGUAGGCGGUUUUUCAAGUCAGAUGUGAAAGCCCCGGGCUUAACCUGGGAACUGCAUUUGAUACUGUGAGACUGGAGUACGAGAGAGGAAAGCGGAAUUCCUAGUGUAGAGGUGAAAUUCGUAGAUAUUAGGAGGAACACCAGAGGCGAAGGCGGCUUUCUGGCUCGUAACUGACGCUGAGGCGCGAAAGCGUGGGGAGCAAACAGG
rnacentral:rRNA from 1 species